AACGAACGCUGGCGGCAGGCCUAACACAUGCAAGUCGAACGCUCCGCAAGGGGAGUGGCGCACGGGUGAGUAACACGUGGGAACCUACCUUCUGGUACGGAACAACCAAGGGAAACUUUGGCUAAGACCGUAUACGACCUCCGGGUGAAAGAUUGAUCGCCGGAAGAGGGGCCCGCGUCCGAUUAGGUAGUUGGUGAGGUAACGGCUCACCAAGCCUUCGAUCGGUAGCUGGUCUGAGAGGAUGACCAGCCACACUGGGACUGAGACACGGCCCAGACUCCUACGGGAGGCAGCAGUGGGGAAUAUUGGACAAUGGGCGCAAGCCUGAUCCAGCCAUGCCGCGCGAGUGAUGAAGGCCUU
rnacentral:rRNA from 1 species